rnacentral:pre_miRNA from 1 species
GAUGAGAUCUCUUAUUCCAUUUUCUCUUUUCUACUCUCUAUUCCAUGUAUUGGAUAUAAGACACGUGUGAUAUCAUCUUGAUUGAUCCAAUACAAUGAAAUAGUAGUGGAAUAGGAGAUCUCAAU